GACGAACGCUGGCGGCGUGCUUAACACAUGCAAGUCGAACGGAAAGGCCCUGCUUUUGUGGGGUGCUCGAGUGGCGAACGGGUGAGUAACACGUGAGUAACCUGCCCUUGACUUUGGGAUAACUUCAGGAAACUGGGGCUAAUACCGGAUAGGAGCUCCUGCUGCAUGGUGGGGGUUGGAAAGGUUCGGCGGUUGGGGAUGGACUCGCGGCUUAUCAGCUUGUUGGUGGGGUAGUGGCUUACCAAGGCUUUGACGGGUAGCCGGCCUGAGAGGGUGACCGGCCACACUGGGACUGAGAUACGGCCCAGACUCCUACGGGAGGCAGCAGUGGGGAAUAUUGCACAAUGGGCGGAAGCCUGAUGCAGCAACGCCGCGUGCGGGAUGACGGCCUUCGGGUUGUAAACCGCUUUCGCCUGUGACGAAGCGUGAGUGACGGUAAUGGGUAAAGAAGCACCGGCUAACUACGUG
rnacentral:rRNA from 1 species